UAUGUUGAAGAACCCUGAUAAGUGUGUUUUACAGGAUUAUUUAGGUUCUUAAAUCUACUUAAUAUUUAAUUACAGUAGCGUAUUUCUACUUUAAUUAGUGUACGGAAUGCUUUUAUGGGUAAACCCUUAGAAGUAAACAGAGGAAAAAAAAAAAAAAGUGAUUUGUAGCUUAUUUGGAGCUACCGAAACAAUGGACUUGAUUGGAAGUUUUGAAAGAGCAAAUUAGAUGAAUUAGCAAGCUUUGGGGAUCAAAUACUACUUUCGGAGAAGCUUGGAGACCAACUUGAUCAUUCUUAAGACCUUCGAGUAUCAAAUUUGAAGAAAAUAGAAGAGGAAGACCAAAAGUGAUUGAAAAAAUGAACGAGGACCAAAAUGAGCGAUUUUGUAAGAUAAGGGACCAAUUUGGGCUUGAUCAAAUCUCGAAGGGCUGA
rnacentral:lncRNA from 1 species